GGGUUCAAUUCGAAUCAGCAUGCACUUCUAACUUGCUGUGUGUGGGGGCCAAGGGAGCCCGGCAGCCCGAGGACAGUCCCCCAGCCAACGGACACCGAGUUGGCUUCCGGGCACGCGCAAACAUGAGGUCACGCCCGUUUUCUCCUUAUUUUAUGUUUUUAUUUUUAUUCUUUUUAGGUGUAUUUAUUUAUUUUCAGGGGCACCUGGGUGGCUCGGUCAGCUAUGCGUCCGACUUCGGCUCAGGUCAGGGCUCCCUCUCUCUCUCUGCCCCUCCCCAGCUCGUGCUUUCCCUCUGUCUCAAAACAAUAAGAAAGUAAAUAAAGUUUGUUUAUGUAUUUUGAGAGGGACAGAGACAGCGUGAGCAGGGGAGGGGCAGAGCGGGAGAGAGACAGAGAAUCCCAAGCAGGCUCUGCGCCGUCAGCACGGGGCCCGAUGCGGGGCUCGAACUCGUGAAACCGUGAGAUCGUGACCUGAGCGCAAACCAAGGGUCGGACGCUUAAUCGACUGAGCCCCCCAGGGGCCUCCUCCUCAGGCUGAUUUCCCAUGCUCGCGCCUUCCACCCCCCCCCCCCCCCCCCCCCCCCCCCCCCCCCCCCCCCCCCCCCGCGUGUGCUUCUCGGGCUUUCUUUUGCGCUAGGCCUUCUCCUCAGGGGCCGCGUCGUUCUGCCCUGUGAGGUCUUGGGCCGAGCGGUGGGCCUGGAGGCCAGGACCCCGGGGGCGGUGGCAGUCCCGGGGAGUUUAAGGAGAGCCGCUGGCAUGGCAGAACCAGUGUUGGUCACUCCAGUUUGCGGCCCCGUCCCCCAGCAAAAGCCCUGGGUGGGGAUUUUCCUUUGGAGCCUCAGGCACCUGCGGCAGGGGACGGGCAGCCUUGCCGGCUUCUAGCCCAGCGGCCCCGGGGCCUGGGAGCUACUGGUCUGUCCAGCGCCUCUUUUGUGUCGGUUCCUCACGCAGCCGGCUUGCGUCCCCCGAUCGUUGCCCGCGCCCCCGGCCCUGGCAACGUGGGCUAUGGCCACGGAUUUGUGCCACGGCAGGGCAGGAAGUGAUAGUCCCAAGGCUCCAGGCAGAUGGGCGAUUGCAAGAGCCAAAUUUCGAAAGCUUCUCUCUUCCUUUUUCUUUCAGUUCUGCUUCCGGCCACCCACCAUCCCAGCACACACUUGAGGGACGCCUUCGGUUUCCCCUGGGCUCUCUCAUGGUUUUUUGGGUUGCCUUCUGGAAUCUAUGCUGCCCUGUCGUUUCUUGGGCGUGUCCAGGCUUGGGAGAGGGAGCCAGGGGCCCAGAGAAGCCUGCCUCUUGCCUGCCGGCCUUGACCUCACGCGUAGCCCGGGACAUGGUCUCUCCUGGGCCUCCUGCUCAGGUCUGGCUCCAGCUGAAUCCCGUCCAGCCCCAUCCUGGCGUUCGGUGGCUUUCACAGACCACGCUUUGGCCUCACGUCCCCUCUCUGGGCAUCUGGUCCCGAAUCGUCCCCGUGGAACGGGCAGCUCUCCCAGGUCCUGCUGGCCCAGGCUUGGGGCCUGAAGUGUAUGCCCUGCCUGCCCACUCAAGAGGAUCAACGUGCCAAGUCCAAGGCGUGUGAAAAGCCAAGCUUUCAGAAUUCCAGAACACCCUUUGGGUCCCAAGCACCUAGAGCCUGCAUUCGGACAUCAUGGCUCCCAGGAGCAGUCAACCUGGCGUAGGUCGACGAAAGUCUCCUUGGGGACUUGGGGAAACGCUUUCAUUCCUCGCAGACUAACAUCGUGCUUGGGUGGCUCGGUUCCGAGGGCGAGUGUCCCAAGAGGGAGAGAGAACGAAAGAGAGCCAGGUGGAAGCUGUUUUGCAUUUGGUGACCUAGCAUCGAGCCCCAUAGCCUCACUUGCUGCGUUGGUCGGAACAGGCACUAACCCAUCCAGGUUCAAGGGGAGAGGAGAAGGACACCACCUCUUUUUUUUUUUUUUAAUGUUUAUUUUUUAAGAGCGAGUGCAACUGGGGGAGGGGCCGAGAGAGGGGGCGGAGGAUCCGAAGGGGGCUCUGCGCUGACGGCGGUGAGCCCGGUGCGGGGUUCAGACUCAUGAACUGCGCGAUCACCACCCAAGCCGGAGCCAGAUGCUCAACCGGCUGAGCCACCCAGGUGCCCCACCUCUUGAUGGGGAUGGCAAGAUUCUCGAAGCUCACACGGGACUGCAGAUAUUGCUGUGGCCGUAUUUGAAAAACAUGAGCUAUCAUAACAGAAGCGUCCCAGGGGAAGAGUGGAACACACCUUGCCGAACCAUGGCAAAGGCUCAGAAUCUGGGGGACCAGCCCGAGGGAUACCCAGGGCUCCUUUAGCCCCGAACACAAUCGAGGGGCCGCCCCCCUGCCUGGAUCCGAGAGAUGCUGGGAGGACACUCACCCCGGGGCUUGCAACACACGGGGCACCCCUUCUGGGUCCGUCUUUGCUGUAAUCCGGGGAGGACUAAGCCAUCAGAGCCACUAUCACAGAUGUUCUGGAAGGCCUACUCUCGGUGGUUCCUGCGAUGAUUGAUAGCAUGCCGUCUCUGCAAUCCUGCAUCUCUGGGCAGGGACCGAGGCAGACUGUUCGAAUCCAGGGGGAGGAGUCUUCUGACAAAGGUAAGCAUGACUUUCUGGAGAUGCAUGGGGAGGGCACCUUCCCCGAUGGGGCUUGCUGUGUGGGCUUGGAAAGGGGCCCUUCCUAGAUGGGGCGCCAUCCGAACUGGGUGCUGAGUGAGAAGCGGGAGCUGUCCAGGGCAUCAGAAAAUUCCCGGUGUCCUUGGGGAGGGUGCUAAGAAUAUGUGCUAGGUGGCUGUGGAAAGAGAGAGAAGGGGGCCGGGAUGGAGGAGGAGGAGGAGGAGGAGGAGGAGGAGGAGGAGGAGGAGAGAAACAGGGGAGGGUCUUAAGGCAAAGGACUUUCUCGUGACCCAGCCUAGAGCCUUCUUAGGCAGAAUCCGAGAGCCUUUGCUUAGGGGAGCGUCUCUUGGCUGUUGAUGCCCUGUACUUGUUCAUUCAUUGAUUCCACUGAUAGGCACUUAACUGUUUAUCCUCUACUCCCUUGUUCUUCCGUUGCCUUUGCAUGUUUUCUCAUUUUAACAAAUAAAUAUCGGGACACAGCCUAACA
ensembl:lncRNA